CGGCGGACGGGUGAGUAAUGUAUGGGGAUCUGCCUGAUGGCGGGGGAUAACUACUGGAAACGGUAGCUAAUACCGCAUAAUGUCUACGGACCAAAGCGGGGGACCUCCGGGCCUCGCGCCAUCAGAUGAACCCAUAUGGGAUUAGCUUGUAGGUAAGGUAACGGCUUACCUAGGCGACGAUCCCUAGCUGGUCUGAGAGGAUGACCAGCCACACUGGAACUGAGACACGGCCCAG
rnacentral:rRNA from 1 species